AACGAACGCUGGCGGCAUGCCUAACACAUGCAAGUCGAACGAGACCUUCGGGUCUAGUGGCGCACGGGUGCGUAACGCGUGGGAACCUGCCCUUAGGUUCGGAAUAACUCCCCGAAAGGGGUGCUAAUACCGGAUAAUGUCUUCGGACCAAAGAUUUAUCGCCUUUGGAUGGGCCCGCGUUGGAUUAGCUAGUUGGUAGGGUAAAAGCCUACCAAGGCGACGAUCCAUAGCUGGUCUGAGAGGAUGAUCAGCCACACUGGGACUGAGACACGGCCCAGACCCCUCCGGGGGGGAGCAGGGGGGAAAUUGGGAAAAGGGGCGAAAGCCUGAUCCAGCAAGGCCGGGGGAGUGAUGAAGGCCUUAGGGUUGUAAAGCUCUUUUACCCGGGAUGAUAAUGACAGUACCGGGAGAAUAAGCCCCGGCUAACUCCGU
rnacentral:rRNA from 1 species